rnacentral:rRNA from 1 species
GUGGGGAAUUUUGGACAAUGGGCGAAAGCCUGAUCCAGCAAUGCCGCGUGCAGGAUGAAGGCCCUCGGGUUGUAAACUGCUUUUGUACGAAACGAAAAGCCUGGGGCUAAUAUCCCCGGGUCAUGACGGUACCGUAAGAAUAAGCACCGGCUAACUACGUGCCAGCAGCCGCGGUAAUACGUAGGGUGCAAGCGUUAAUCGGAAUUACUGGGCGUAAAGCGUGAGCAGGCGGUUUUGUAAGAUCGAUGUGAAAUCCCCGGGCUCAACCUGGGAACUGCAUUGGUGACUGCAAGGCUGGAGUGCGGGAGAGGGGGAUGGAAGUCCGCGUGUAGCAGUGAAAUGCGUAGAUAUGCGGAGGAACACCGAUGGCGAAGGCAAUCCCCUGGGCCUGCACUGACGCUCAUGCACGAAAGCGUGGGGAGCAAACAGGAUUAGAAACCCUGGUAGUCC